rnacentral:rRNA from 1 species
GAUGAACGCUAGCUACAGGCUUAACACAUGCAAGUCGAGGGGUAACGAGAGGAAAGCUUGCUUUCCUUGUCGACGACCGGCGCACGGGUGAGUAACGCGUAUCCAACCUGCCCCCAACUAGGGAAUAACCUUGCGAAAGUAAGACUAAUACCCUAUAAUUUCCUCAGAUGUCAUCUGACGAGGAAUAAAGAUUUAUCGGUUGUGGAUGGGGAUGCGUGUGAUUAGCUUGUUGGCGGGGUAACGGCCCACCAAGGCAACGAUCAGUAGGGGUUCGGAGAGGAAGGUCCACCACAUUGGAACUGAGACACGGUCCAAACUCCUACGGGAGGCAGCAGUGAGGAAUAUUGGUCAAUGGGCGGAAGCCUGAACCAGCCAAGUAGCGUGCAGGAUGACGGCCCUAUGGGUUGUAAACUGCUUUUAUACAGGAAUAAAGUUAGCCACGUGUGGUUAUAUGUAGGUACUGUAUGAAUAAGGACCGGCUAAUUCCGUGCCAGCAGCCGCCGUAA